rnacentral:rRNA from 1 species
CGAACGCUGGCGGCAUGCCUAAUACAUGCAAGUCGAGCGAACAGAUGAAGUGCUUGCACUUCUGACGUUAGCGGCGAACGGGUGAGUAACACGUAAGGAAUCUACCUAUAAGCGGGGGAUAACAUUCGGAAACGGGUGCUAAUACCGCAUAAUAUCUUCUUCCGCAUGGAAGAAGAUUGAAAGACGGCUCUGCUGUCACUUAUAGAUGACCUUGCGGUGCAUUAGUUAGUUGGUGGGUAACGGCCUACCAAGACGAUGAUGCAUAGCCGACCUGAGAGGGUGAUCGGCCACAUUGGGACUGAGACACGGCCCAAACUCCUACGGGAGGCAGCAGUAGGGAAUCUUCCGCAAUGGGCGAAAGCCUGACGGAGCAAUGCCGCGUGAGUGAAGAAGGCCUUCGGGUCGUAAAACUCUGUUAUAAGAGAAGAACAAAUUGUAGAGUAACUGCUACAGUCUUGACGGUAUCUUAUCAGAAAGCCACGGCUAACUACGUG